AAAUUACGGGGCUGUCGUCCAGUCCCUUAAUCUGUGCAGAAUACGGUCAUUCCCCGUAAUAUGCUAGCUGAUAAAGAUCACGUGUCGUUGUCACGUGUUUCUACGCAAAGAAGCGGGAAGGAGAAAAAUCAAGAUGGAUGGCCUGUGUUGAACGAAUGUUGUCUUCCAACUAGAGUCCCUUUCAACAACUUAACCUUUUAAAUAUGUAAUGUAUGAUAUAAGUCCCACAACAUCUGGACCAAAUAUACGUAUUGGAGAGUAGGGACUCUGACAUACAGGCUCUCAUCUAAGUAUUGCGCCUAGGCAUCGAAAGAAAGAUGUUGUCUUCGUGCUUCGUCGCCGUCGCCAUGUGAUUCCAAUGUCUGGAUUCAAAAUAUUAAACAAUCCUUGCUUUAAAGUGGAUGAAAAAUAACUUCUAGAUCAAGAAGUGUUUCAUCGGAAUUUAUUUAGAGGGCAAUAUUUUGGAUAAGUUACUGAACUAAAGGAUCCAAAAGGAAUAAAGAUUUGGAAAAAGUGAUUCAACCAAGUUUUGAAAAAUUUGACCAUAAUUUCUCUUCUGAAAAAGUUUAUUUGUAAUUAUGUUGUUAUUUAACUUGUAAUUAGU